UUAGCUCACGUUGCUCUCUUUAGCUGCCAUUUGCACUUGAAGGUCAGGAUCGAGGCAGGAGGUGAGGAAGUGGGGAUCAGGCUGUAAGCUAGGGUUAAGAAGGCAGUUUUUAUUUUCUAUAAUAUGUUUUUAUUACGAUUCACAUAUUUUUAUCUUUGUAAAUUCUACAAGUUCUUAAGCUCACUAUGAAAAAACAGAAGUUUCUUUUAUAAGGUUCAGUAGCUACUUCAUGUUGUACUGAUUAGUUUCUAAUAAUUUGAAAAAAAAUUAGCUCACGUUGCUCUCUUUAGCUGCCAUUUGCAAUUGAAGGUCAGGAUCGAGGCAGGAGGUGAGGAAGUGGGGAUCGGGCUGUGAGCUAGGGUUAACAAGGCAGUUUUUAUUUUCUAUAAUAUGUUUUUAUUACGAUUCAAAUAAUUUAUCUUUAUAGAUUCUACAAGUUCUUAAGCUCACUAUGAAAAAACAUAAGUUUCUUUUAUAAGGUUCAGUAGCCGCUUCAUGUUGUACUGAUUAGUUUCUAUUAAUUUGAAGAAAAUUAGCUCACGUUGCUCUCUUUAGCUGCCAUUUGCACUUGAAGGUCAAGAUCGAGGCAGGAGGUGAGGAAGUGGGGUUGGGCUGUGAGCUAGGGUUAUGGGGCUGGCUGGGCCUUAGGUGGGACAGCCUGGCCAGUUGGCCCAGCUGGCUGGCUGGCUGCUGCUCAAAACAAGUUCGUUGUAUAUAGCUUUUCCCUUGCCGAUAGCUCGAUCUGAUUUUUUCAUGUCUAUGCUAUAGAAGAGCUUGUAGUAUUCAAAUGUAGUUUCUCACACAAUAGUACUGGGCGCACUCAUUGUUAAAGUCAGUUGUAGUGUAAGAAAAUCAAAGAAAACAUGUGUGAAUAAUGAAUGAGAUGACAUACCUUUUAGAUGUUCUUCAAUAAUUUUUGUUCUACUCUUUAUUUAUAAGGUGACAAAUAAUUGCGUGUAGUAGUGUUCUGUGCGGUUUUAGCAAGCACAUGCGUUUG
rnacentral:lncRNA from 1 species